rnacentral:lncRNA from 1 species
CGAAGCAGAAAUUCCUUCAAAUUUGAACUCUUUGAACCACCAAUGCUUGUUUUUCACCACCAAUAAUAUUGAAUAAUUUGAGACAAAAUGCAAUAAUCGGAAAUAUUGUGGAAUGAGAGAGAGCUUAAGAGUUGAGAGAAUAGAAAAAAAUUGAGGGUAUUUAAUAUUUAUAGGGAUUUAAAUAUUAGGAUUUAAUUUUUUUUUUUUAAAUUUCAAGACCGUUCAACGGUCAUAAUAUUGAAUUAUGAGUGGCAGGCAUGUUCAACG